GCUGAUUCAUGGCGAGAAAGAGAUGAAGAACUGAAGAUUAAAUAGGGAUUUUGUUGGUGAUUGAGUUAAAAGAUGGGUUCAAUUGAUUUUAGGGGUUUCAACUGAUUUGAUUUCAACAAGUGAUGAUGAUUUAGGUUUGUAGAAGACGGAUCUGUGGUGACUUAUGAGAAGAAGAAUUGGUAGUUUUAAGUUUGCAAUUUGGUCAUUGUCAUAUCAGGAUGGAGAAUACUAAUGAAGUCAUGGGUUAAGUUGAUUCGUAGGUGAACUUGUGAGAUAAUUUGGUGUUGGCUUUACAGAGAAUGGUGUGAAUUUUGGAGACGGAUUUGUGGAGGUUCGAUUCAGUUCAAUUUAGUGCAUACCUGUCUUAUCAGUUACCGAUGCGAAGAACAAAAACAUUGAAAUUAUGGGGAACACUCUUUACAAGGCAUACCUCAAGGAUUUCUUUAAGUUCUGCCAGGACCAAUUACAUUGAUUGCCUGGUAGAAUCUACAUGAAAGACAAGAGAAUAACUUCAGGUUGAACUGGGCUUCUUUAGUCUCGGGAGAUAACAGUCGGGAUGAUGAUGCUGACUUCAACUGGAUUCUCUCGCGGUUUCAGUUAUGUAACUUUUGCAGAGAUUGAGGAUGCGAAGGGUAAGUAUGGAAUUGUGGAGUUGCUGCUGUGAGAUGGAUGGAGGAUAUGAAGGAUAAGGAAAUGGUGGUUCUGCUGAAAAGGGUCUAGAAGCAGGCAUUACCUGGCCUACAGGGUUGCAGCUCAUUGGACACCGAACACUGGUAUGCAGUCAUGAGAUAAUGAACUCCACUGAAAGGGCCUGCCACCUUGCAAAGAGUGCUUUUAAAGAAUCUAUAACAAAGCUGGAUACUUGAGUGAAGAAUGUUAUAAAGACAGUACUUGGAUUAUGCAACUAUUGAGGGAUAAAGAUGAAAUUGCCAAGUAUGAUGGGGAUGACCCUAGCAAGCCAGCUUUCGUCAGGCCUCAAGAUGGGCAGUUCAAAGGCCAAGGCCUUUGGGGAAAAAUGCAGAUCACUGAAAUGAAGAUUUUUUUUGGAAAGGAUCGAUUUGUUUCGCGAGUAUUGGGCGAUGGUAUUGGAGGCGCUGAAGUCUUCUUAAGGUUAUGUUUACUUGAUUAUUUUUCUUUUUGAUAGAAGUAAAUGACCCGGGAUGUUAUAAAUGUGAAUUUUGUUAAUUUAGUUUGGUGGCUUGAGUUUCCUCU